UGGAUCAAUGAUGACCACUGAGGAUGUAUGAUUGGGGAUCAUGACUACAUGUCUGGGAAUCUGAGGUUCAC
ensembl:snoRNA